UACGUAGGGUGCAAACGUUGUUCGGAAUUACUGGGCGUAAAGCGCGUGUAGGCGGCCAUCUAAGUCGGGCGUGAAAUCCCACGGCUCAACCGUGGAAGUGCACUCGAAACUGGAUGGCUAGAGUCCUGGAGAGGAAGGUGGAAUGCUUGGUGUAGAGGUGAAAAUUCGUAGAUAUCAAGCGGAACACCGGUGGCGAAGGCGGCCUUCUGGACAGUGACUGACGCUGAGACGGCGAAAAGCGUGGGGGAGCAAAACAGGG
rnacentral:rRNA from 1 species